AUACGGAGGGUGCAAGCGUUAUCCGGAAUCAUUGGGUUUAAAGGGUCCGCAGGCGGGCUAAUAAGUCAGUGGUGAAAUCCUCCCGCUCAACGGGAGAACUGCCAUUGAUACUGUUAGUCUUGAAUUCGGUCGAAGUAGGCGGAAUGUGUCAUGUAGCGGUGAAAUGCAUAGAUAUGACACAGAACACCGAUAGCGAAGGCAGCUUACUAGACCUGGAUUGACGCUCAUGGACGAAAGCGUGGGGAGCGAACAGGAUUAGAAACCCGAGUAGUCC
rnacentral:rRNA from 1 species